rnacentral:misc_RNA from 1 species
CAACCCUCAAGCUCUGCUUGGUGUUGGGGCCCUACGGCUGCCGUAGGCCCUGAAAAGAAGUGGCGGGCUCGCUAUAACUCCGAGCGUAGUAAUUCAUUAUCUCGCUAGGGAGGUGCAGCGUGCUCCUGCCGUUAAAGACACCAUCUUUAACCAAGG